rnacentral:rRNA from 1 species
GCAAGUCGAGCGGUAACACAGAGGAGCUUGCUCCUUGGGUGACGAGCCCCGUAAGGGUGAGUAAUGCCUGGGGAUCUGCCCGAUAGAGGGCUAUAACUACGGGAAACUGUAGCUAAUACCGCAUAAUGUCUACGGACCAAAGUGGGGGCUCUUCGGACCUCAUGCUAUCGGAUGAACCCAGGUGGGAUUAGCUAGUUGGUAAGGUAAUGGCUCACCAAGGCGACGAUCUCUAACUGGUUUGAGAGAAUGACCAGUCACACUGGAACUGAGACACGGUCCAGACUCCUACGGGAGGCAGCAGUGGGGAAUAUUGCACAAUGGGCGCAAGCCUGAUGCAGCCAUGCCGCGUGUGUGAAGAAGGCCUUCGGGUUGUAAAGCACUUUCAGCGGGGAGGAAGGGCUACUAGUUAAUACCUAGUGGCAUUGACGUUACUCGCAGAAGAAGCACCGGCUAACUCCGUGCCAGCAGCCGCGGUAAUACGGAGGGUGCAAGCGUUAAUCGGAAUUACUGGGCGUAAAGCGCACGCAGGCGGUUUGUUAAGUCAGAUGUGAAAUCCCCGAGCUCAACUUGGGAACUGCAUUUGAAACUGGCAAGCUAGAGUCUUGUAGAGGGGG